AGCAACUAGAUGGGGCGAUAGCAGUGCGG
rnacentral:sRNA from 1 species